AGAACGAACGCUGGCGGCAUGCCUAAUACAUGCAAGUCGAACGAACACUUCGGUGUUAGUGGCGCACGGGUGCGUAACGCGUGGGAAUCUGCCCUUGGGUUCGGAAUAACAGUUGGAAACGACUGCUAAUACCGGAUGAUAUCGAAAGAUCAAAGAUUUAUCGCCCAGGGAUGAGCCCGCGUAGGAUUAGCUAGUUGGUGAGGUAAAGGCUCACCAAGGCGACGAUCCUUAGCUGGUCUGAGAGGAUGAUCAGCCACACUGGGACUGAGACACGGCCCAGACUCCUACGGGAGGCAGCAGUAGGGAAUAUUGGACAAUGGGCGCAAGCCUGAUCCAGCAAUGCCGCGUGAGUGAUGAAGGCCUUAGGGUUGUAAAGCUCUUUUACCCGAGAUGAUAAGUGAACAGUAUCGGGAAGUAAGUAAGCCCCGGACUAACCGUCCGACCGCCAGCAGCCGAC
rnacentral:rRNA from 1 species